CACUAGGAAAUAAACAUAGGGGGAAAAUUGUCAAUUUCUCUAAAUAUUUUUCUGUCCCAAUCUCACUUAAGUCUCAGUGACCACAGUAUGAUACAGUGGUGAUACACCCAUUUCUAUCUCUAUUUGACAGAUGAAAACACUAAGCUUUAUUCUUAAGAUCUAUUUUGCCAGGAGACUUUUUGGUGUAUGGUGGGUGAAAAGUUUAGAGAUCAUUUUGAAUUGGUAAAAAAUUAGAAGGUCUAUUUGAAAGCUAUGCAGCGUUAUUGCUUUUAAGCGCCGACGUAAACUAACCAAUAUGAAAUCUUGCCUAAUGGAGACAAGUCUUAGACUUUCUUUAACAAAUACCUAAGGCACACUUGAAAUUUGUAAGAUGCCUAUUAUUUGGAAUGGAUAAAACAAAAGGUUUGAGAACUAUCCUCUUAAUUGAGUUUAACUCCCUCUUGCAAUCUCAUCUAAUGAUUAGCUUAUUUUAAAAAUCCUCUUAUUUACGAACAGUAUGAAUGUAAAGUUCGCUUAAUCAUUCAAUAAACAUUGAUUGAGACCAUUUCCAGGCCCAUGUGUAAAGAGUAGUUAGUUGGUUUUUUUUAAAAUGAAUUUAUUUGGCUGUGUCGGGUCUUCGUUUCUGUGCGAGGGCUUUCUCUAGUCUCGGCGAGCAGGGGCCGCUCUUCAUAGCGGUGCGCAGGCUUCUCACUGUCGCGGCCUCUCUUGUUGCAGAGCACAAGCCCCAUACGCGCAGGCUCAGUGGUUGUGGCUCACGGGCUUAGUUGCUCUGUGGCAUGUGGGAUCUUCCCAGACCAGGGCUCAAACCCAUGUCCCCUGCAUUGGCAGGCAGAUUCUCAACCACUGCGCCACCAGGGAAGCCCCUGUUGUUGUUUUUUUAAUAAAUUUGUUUAUUUAUUUUUGGCUACGUUGGGUCUUCCGUUGCUGCGCGUAGGCUUUCUCUUGUUGCGGCGAGCGGGGGCUACUACUUUUUGUUGCGGUGCCCGGGCUUCUCAUUGCGGUGGCUUCUCUUGUUGUGGAGCACGGGCUCUAGGCACACGGGCUCAGAAGUUGUGGCUCCCGGGCUCUAGAGCGCAGGCUCACUAGUUGUGGCCAUAGUUGCUCCGCGGCAUGUGGGAUCUUCCCAGACCAGGGCUCAAACCCAUGUCCCCUGCAUUGGCAGAUGGAUUCUUAACCACUGCACCACCAGGGAAGUCCAAAAGCAAUUAGGUUUUAAACUCUCCACUUUGCAGCAUUCAGAUUCUUUAAGCUGCCUCCUCCCCUCAUCUUUAAAAUCUUUUUCUAAAAUUUAACAGUGAAGUUUCUUUAUUCAGUGAAUGCUUGAAGCAGAUGACUCUUCACCAGAGGUGGGGUCUGGGAGCCUCUCCGAGGAGAGAAGGCAACUGAGGCCAGGGAAGAGGUGCUUAGAAUGAGACGAUGAGAAAGGCAGUGCCUGGCAAGGCAUAGCACCAAUGGAGCAUUCAAGGAAUGACUAAAAGCUGCAGUGGUGCUGCAGGAAUGAAACACCCUGUCCAGGACCUCUUGGGGGAAGACCUUAAUUUCCCAGGGCUGGAUCCCUAUGACUGGCCUUGACUGAACCUCAGUGCCCCGGGAUGACUGGGCUUGUCUUGUACCCUAGUGAAGCCCAUUCACACCUUCAUCUCAUAGCGCCAGACAGCAUAGCAGAAAAAUCUGGAGGAGCAUAGGACACAACAACAGAGAUGAACCAAAGAUGGUGCACAGAUGGGUCUUUAGAGAGGAUGGGUUACUGCAGAGACAGUAGGUUGGUGGCAGGGGAGUGUGGCUGGGGCUCUCUGAUGUCUAAAAAGAACCAUGGUAAAAAGUUAGUUUUGAAGCUCACAGACCUUUGGUUAGGAUCACAAGUAGCACUUGUUCGAGAGCCUCCAGAGAACGCCUAACCUAGAUGUCCAGGUUCAACUAGGGCCUAGCAUCUUAUGGCGGAAGAAUCAGCCACCUCAGAAGGAGGGCAGCCUGGCAUCUCUGAGGCUUGCGGGCAUUGGACUCAGUGGUUCCCAAGAUGCUCACAUGUUGUUAGAAAAUACAGCAAUUUCCUGUGGUUAGAGGGAAGACUGGGGCCCUUUUUGGUAGACCUUGGUGCAGCCUACACUGGCAUCCUUUUUUUUUUUUUAAUGAACAAUUCAUAAGUUUUUUCUAAAGUAACCAUUUUUAUUUAUUUAUUUAUUUUUGGCUGCGUUGGGUCUUCGUUGCUGCGCGUGGACUUUCUCUAGUUGCAGGAAGCGGAGGCUACUCUUCGUUGUGGUGCGUGGGCUUCUCAUUGUGGUGGCUUCUCUUACUGUGGAGCACGGGCUCUAGGCGCGCGGGCUUCAGUAGUUCCGGCACGCGGGCUCAGUAGCUGUGGUGCGUGGGCUCAGUAGUUGUGGCUCGCGGGCUCUAGAGGGCAGGCUCAGUAGUUGUGGCACACGGGCUUAGUUGCUCUGCCACAUGUGGGAUUGUCCCGGACCAGGGCUUGAACCCGUGUCCCCUGCAUCGGCAGGCGGAUUCUUAACCACUGUGCCACCAGGGAAGUCCGCGCACUGGCAUCUUUGACAAGAUGUUAUAUAAGUGGUGUUGAUAUUGCCACCUAACUUCCUUUUCAAACACCAGAAUCGAUAAUGGCCAUUUCCAGUACUUGGGCAAGUUCAUAAUUAAGCCGAAGGUGACCGUAAAGGAAGAAGUCAGGCUGACCUGGCUUCAAAUCCUGGCUUCACCACUUUCAGGUAUGAUAGAUUAAAGAUGGCUGCAAAUUCUUUUCUACUCCUCCUCCCAUUGAGAGGCAGACUUGAUUCCCCUUCUCCUUUGACCAAGAGGGUGCAGUAGAAGUGAUGCUAGGGCAGAGAAGACUUGCAGCCCCUGCCUGGCUCUCAGAAUGUUCCUGAGACAUUCCUUCUCAGAGAGGCUGCUGUCGGUACUCUGGGGUGACAGCCCCAGCUAGCAUUUGUGCAACAAAGCUGUGUUUGCACAUCUAGCUCAGUGGAGCCUUCAGAUAACUAACUGUAGCCACAGCCAAUGCCUAAGCGCACCUGCAUUAGAGACCCCAAGUGAGACACCCUCACCUCCAGCUGAGCCUCAGAGAAUCAUAAGCAAUAUAAUAAUGUGUUGUUUUAAGCCAGUACAUAUUGGGUGAGAUAAGCACUCAGAGGUUUAGUUUCCUUCUGUAAAAUGGGCAAAAUAGCAGUAUCCACUUCCUAGAGUUAUUGUGAUAUGAAUGUAAUAAUGGUGGAAGCGUCAAACGCAGUGCUCGGCACACAGUAGGUCUUCAGUAAAUGCCAAGCUCCUGCCUGCCCCUUCUCCAGGAGGCUAUAUAUCCCAGGUAUGAGUGAAUCUUGGCCACUGCUCCAAACUUCCUGGGCAGACACCCAACUUUCCUCAAAGGGAAUGCCUAGGAUCAAAUUUGAAAGUGGGGUUGGAGAGCACUUGAUUUUUUUCUUUCUGGGCCAAUCUGUGACCCCUUUAAGAAAAAUAUCACCACCUUGUAUGAGGAAAACGCCAGCAGUUUUUCUGCAGCACCCAGCCCUGCAGAGCCACAGACUGCAUGCACAGUGGGCAGACGUUGUUGAACAGAUGAACAACUGUGGCUUAAUCUGUUUUGGGAAAAGAAAAAAAGUCCUGAAGCAAUUGAUAAACAGGAGGCUGAGGUCAGCGUGAAGGAAGAGUAAAUGAGGCCAGAUUGGGGACCGCUGAAACAUGCUAAAACCCCGCCAAACGGAAUAAAUUAACUACUAGAUGACCACAAGCAUGUAUCCCGCAGACCUACCGGAGCCUGAGGAUUAAUUAUGUGACACCACCCUGUUACCUCACCAUCAACCAAUCAGAGGAUUGUGCAUGAGCUGAUCACAUACCCUGUGACUCCCCUCCCUCACCUGGUCUUUAAAAAUUCUUUGCUGAAACCCAUCGGUGAGUUCAUGUGUUUUGAGCACUAGAUGCCCUGGACUCCUUGCUUGGUGUCCCGCAAUAAACUCUGCACUUCCCUUCAGAACAACCCAGUGUCAGUAGAUUGGUUUUACUGUGCAUGGGUGAGCAGACCCAAGUUUGGGUUUGGUAACGCCACUGCUAACAUCCCAUUGGCCAAAUCGAGUCACAAGGCCAAGUCCACUCUGCUCACAGUGAGAAGCAGAAAGGAGGAAUAUUUGUUCAACAAUAAUCCCAACUAUCACAGAUGUGAUAAUAUCUGCUGCUAUAGACUAAGUGUUGUGUACCCCCAAAUUUAUAAUUGAAACCUAAUUCCCAAUGUGAUGGUAUUUGGAGGUGAGGUCUUUGGGAGGCGAUUAGGUCAUGAGGGUGGAGCCCUUAUAAAUGGGAUUAAUGCCCUUAUUAAGGGGCACAAGAGACCCCAGAGAGCUCCCUCGUCCCUUCUGUCACGUAAGGACAUAAGGAAAAGGUAGCCAUCUAUGAUCCAGAAAGAUGGUUCAUAGCCAUCUAUGAACCAAAUCUGCCAGUGCUCUGAUGUUGGGCGGUGGAGUGAUACCCAUUUAAGUAAAUAUAAGUUCAAUUUUGAUUUUCUGACCAUGUCCUGUCCGGUUAUGAAGGUUCUGUCCCAUCCAUGAAACUGCCACUCAAUUUCUACACUCUUUUGGGGAGGCCAUUAUUCUGCUGAUCAUGUGGUCAAACCAGUGACAGGGACAGCCCAGGCUCCAGGGGAGGGGAAAUAGACUCCACUAUCUGAUGGGAGAAAUAACAAAGCUAUUGUGGCUCUUUAACCCACCACAGUAUGCAUCCACUCAUGCAGUCCUCACCACAAACCCAUGAGGUGGGGACUGAUAUUCACAUUUGAAAGUGGGAAACUUGAGAGCAAAGAUGUUGCUAACUUGGCUAAGGUGAGCCAGCUAGUCAGCGGGAGGGCUAGGGUUCCAGCCUAGGCUGUUUGACAGCGGGGCGAGAGCACCAGACACAACGUUGUGCCUGGUGCUCAGCUGAUGUUUGCUUUCUCCUUCCCUAUUGAUUCCAUUUCUUCAGCCCUUUAAGGAUAGGAAGCUGUCACCCCUUGUACCCCAUUAUGUACAGGCUUCUCUCGUACAUGCACUCACAUGCACCUAAGGGCUUGUGGUAAAGUCUCCUUAAAAAAACAGGGUGGUGGGACUCCAGUGGUUAAGAGUCCGCCUUCCAAUGCAAGGGGACGCGGGUUUGAUCCCUGGUCCAGGAACUAAGAUCUCACGUGCCGCGGGGCAACUAAGCCCGCGCGCCGCAACUACUGAACCCGUGAGCUCUGGAGGCCCCACGCCACAACUAGAGAAGCCCACAAGCUGCAAGGAAGAGCCUGAGCGCCACAACAAAAGAUCCCACGUGCUGCAUCUAAGACCCCACACAGCCAAAUAAAUUAAUUAAAAAAAAAAAGUUGAGUGACUAAAGUGAAUUAAAAACCAUGUGAGGAAAUUAAAAAAAAAAAGCAAACAGAAAAACCAGGGUGGUGGAGUGAUACUUGUUUAACUAAAUAUAAUUCAGUUUGGGUUUUCUGACCAUGUCCUGUCUGGUUAUUAAAGUUUCCUCAUGAUUUCUUUCUAUGGGGGUUCUGACCUGUCCAUGGAAACGCCACCCGGCUUCCACACUCUUUUGAAUCAAACUCGCUUCUGGCUGCUAGUCCUUUAUUUUCAGAUGUUGUCUUAGUAAUGGGUCCAGGGUUCCCCAGCCCCACCACAGGCCCAGACUGAUCUCCCAGAGUCAAUCAACCUCUGCUCCGCCACCCCUUGGGCUUCACAAAGUGCGGGAAGUUACAGAGCUGUGCCAGAGGGAGUAGAGGUGGCAGCAUUCAAAAUCAGCGUCUUGUCUGAAUACAUUCUAACUUAGGUGGGUUUUGAAAUCCAUAUGCGUGGAGCACUGUUCCAAGCACUGGACUACAGUCAUGGGUGUGACACAUUAGCCUACGUAAUCACUUGGUUUGGGCCAGUUCCCCCACCCAAACGUGUGAGAAGAGCCUGGGGUUCAGACAGUCUUGCAGACUGAAAUGGAUGCUUGCCUUGUAAACUAAGUAAUGCUUUUGGAUUCAUUCACUUGUCCAAGAAAUAUAUAAUUGAGCACUUGUUAUGAGCCAGUCGCUGUGCUGGGCAGAGAGGACAAGGAUGAAUAAAUUAGAUGCAGGAAUAAAUUCCUGCCCUCCAGGAGCCCACAGUUAAUUCUAACAGUUAUUACCUACAUUUUAUACCUGGGCAUGUAAAGUGUAAAAAUGUUAACCACAGUGUAUAUGUCUACCAAUAUGUCUAAAGUGUAUAUGUCUACCAAUGAGGCAAGGUUUUCUUCCCCCUAAAGUUAUGGCCCAGAAGAGAGGGGAGUACUUUAUUUUGGGGUCUGUAAAGGAAAAAUACACUCUUGUGUGCUUCCUUUCCUACUAACACUUAACACUUCUGGCAUUUCUGGUUACCAGAUGUGUGGGUUUUCCAUACAUCAAGCAUUCUAUGACACCAGCUGGUGCCUACAAUUCAACUCAAUUCUGACACUAUCCAACCGUAGUUAGAUCUCACAGGUCAAGUCCACAAGACUGCCUCCACUUCAGAUGCCAAUGGCAAAUCUAUGUUGUCACCUGUGCUUCUGACCGACUGGCUAUAUUCAGAGUUUCCCAUGACCACCUCCUUUGAGUCCAUUAAUUUGCUAGAGUGGCUCACGGAACUCAGGAAAACACUCUACUUACUAGAUUACCCAUUUGUGGGCUUCCCUGGUGGCGCAGUGGCAAGAAUCCGCCUGCCAUUGCAGGGGACACGGGUUCAAGCCCUGCCCCGGGAAGAUCCCACAUGCCAUGGAGGAACUAAGCCCGUGCGCCACAACUAGUGAGCCUGUGCGCCUAGAGCCGGCGCUCCACAAGAGAAGCCAUCGCAAUGAGAAGUGCAUACACUGCAACGAGGAGUAGCCCCCGCUCACUGCAACUAGAGAAAGCCCACACGCAGCAACAAAGACCCAACGGUAGCCAAAAAUAAAUGAAUAAAAUAAAUAAAUUAGAUUACCCAUUUCUUAUAAAAGGAUAUAACUCAGGAACAGCCAGAUGGGAAAGAUGCAUAGGGCCAGUUACAUGGGAAGGGCACCAGAGCCUCCGUGCCCUCUCUAGGAGUGUCACUCAUGGCUUCAUUACGUAUGCAUAUAUGAUCAAAUCAUUGGCUGUCGGUGAUUGAUUUAACCUUCAGCUUCUUGCCCCUCUCCCGAGCUCAAGCUGGUGAGAGUGAAAAUUUCAUCUCUCUAAUCCCAAGGUUGGUUCCCCUGGCAACCAGCCCCUAUUCUUAGGUUAUCUUGGGAAUUUCCAAAAAUCAGCUCAUUAAUAAAUUCAGGUGUGGUUGAAAGGGGCCUAUUAUAAGAAUAAUGAAAGACACCCAUUUCACCUUAUGGCUCUUAUCACUUAGGAAAUUCCAAGGAUUUUAGGAGCUCUGAACCAGAAAUGGGAAAAAGACCACAUAUAUAUUUCUUAACAUAAAUCACAACAUCACAGGGUCCUUGCCAUGCCUCUCAUGUUACACCAAUGCUUUCCAAAUUUCUAGUUUUGGAAGCUCACAGAGAUCACCAACUCAGUACAAAAGGAGGUGAGAAAAUGUAACACAGUUUUGUUAGCUAUUCCUGGGAAUGUGACUUUACAUUUGCAAUGCUGGAAGUUGCUAUAAACAAGCUUUUUAUGAUCACUUUAAAAAGCAGAACAGUGAGCAGUUAUGUUGGAGAGACCGGUGAAGGCCUGAACUGACUAAUGCUAUUCGAAUGGACACUUUGUGGAUUGGGAUAAAACUUCCAGGGAAAGCAUCCCAUAAAGGGUCCAAGAGAAUCUCCGACAAUCCAGACGGCAGUGAGAAUGCCGAAUAAAUGGGUCUAGUCGCAGUUAGGACGUUGAUGACCAAGAGGUACAUGAAGAAUUUAAAUAGAUUUUUUAAGUGAAAUAUGAAAGUGGAAAAAAGCGGUAUUUAUAAAUUAAUUUAUUAUAUUGCAUAAAUGGUAUUAAACAUGGAUGUGUAACUAAAUUCAUUUAUUGAAAAAGUACAUCACAAUUUCAUCUAUCUCACUAAAAGCUUUAUGUGCUCAGGUUGACCAAAAUAUUACGAGAGGAUUUCCCCGUUGGAAAGUUAAGUGCUAUCUUAUAUUUGGUACCUACGUCCAUUUGGGCACAUGUGGAACCUUUGCCCAGAGUCAAACAGUUAGGAGGGACAGAGCCAGAUCUCUCUGACCCACCCAUGUAUUUACCUUAAUUCCUCCAUUAGACCAGAUUUCAUUAGAUCUCAGACUAUGGUCCCUGCCCCCAUCGUCCAUCUAUUUCAUUCCAUUUCAACUGAGAGCAUUUAUUGAGCCCCUAAUAUAAUGGAGGAAUUGUUUUUCUAGUCUGUAAAUCACUUUUAAUACUGAACUAAGGGAGAAGAGACUGACUUUUAACUGAAGAUGGAGGAAAAAAAAGUAGUUUUGACUAAGAAUAGCUGGGUCCAGGUUUAUGUAGGCCAUUCUCCCUGUUACACAAUAUGAGUUCUGGUCUUCUCUGUCUUCUUAGGACUAAAAAAUGCCUGUAACCUCAGCCCCAAUAGGACAGUCAUAAGGAGCAAAUAAAAGUGCAAUUUCCCUUUGUCAGUUUUUUUUUUUUUUUUUUUUUUGCGGUACGCGGGUCUCUCACUGCUGUGGCCUCUCCUGUUGUGGAGCACAGGCUCCGGCCGCGCAGGCUCAGCGGCCAUGGCUCACGGGCCCAGCCACUCCACGGCAUGUGGGAUCUUCCCGGACCGGGGCAUGAACCCGCGUCCCCUGCAUCGGCAGGCGGACUCUCAACCACUGCGCCACCAGGGAAGCCCCCUUUGUCAGUUUUAAAAUAAUAAACAAACCUGGUUAAUCUUUGGGUAACAGGGUUUUAUAUUUUUCUUGAUACUUUGCAGUAUCACAUAAAUUUUUUACUUGAGCGUGUAUUAUAUUUAGUCAGAAAAAAUCAGUAAAUAUUCAUUUUUGAAAAAACACAAGUGUUGGGUUACAGAAUUUCAAUUUCACUUGCUGGAUUUGCAUUGAGUCCACCUUACAUUUAACCUCUUUCUUUCUUUUAAUCCAAGCUAAGAGAACCAAACACUUUCUGUGGGUAAUACAUGCAGGGCUCCCCUCUCAGGAUCGCCUGCCAUCCCAGCCUACCUUCCCUCAAGACGCCCAGACAACUAUACAUAGAGGAAAGGAACAGAAAGAUGCUACAAGAGCUUGAGCCAUAUCUUGUGUGUGUGUGUGUGUGUGUGUGUGUGUGUGUGUGUGUGUGCGUGUGUGUGUUCAAUAUUAUUAUGCCUCUCCCUGAGAUUCUCCUUUAAGAUCACAUUCUUCAAGAUACAUUAAGUCUGUGAAAUAAAGCGGAAGACGCUGUGCGACUCAAAGCCAGCUGUGCUACCUCUCUGAGCUGGAGUUUGCUCAUCUGUAGGAUAACUGGUGGAAUCCAAAAGGAAAAAGAGCAU